rnacentral:lncRNA from 1 species
CCCUCGGUAGAUGAAGUUGAAUCGCCUUUCGGGUUGGUUCUUUUUCAUUGCCGGUAAAUACCACCUUUUUCGUCUUCUGGCAUCAUUGUCUAGUGAAACCAAGGCUGUGUCGAUCGACAGUCCUUUUAAUCCACGAUAGCUUUCUCUCGCGAGGCAGACGUACAACUUUUCAGUAAAACAAAAAUAACUUUAGAUCUAACAUUCAGAUGGACCUCAAAUCGGUGGCAGUAGAAAAGUAACUCAAAGCUCUAUCUUGUGUCAAAAUAUGGGUUCAAUCUAACCAUGGGAAGGUCUCCAUCCAUAUCUGAAUUUCGGACGCGUAUGUGCAAUUCUGCACUUCAAAAGCUCC